UCCGUGGUGGUCCAGUGGCUAAGACUCUGUGCUCCCAGUGCAGGGGGUUCAGGUUCAAUCCCUGGUCAGGGAA
rnacentral:tRNA from 1 species